UACGGAGGGGGCUAGCGUUGUUCGGAAUUACUGGGCGUAAAGCGCGCGUAGGCGGGCUGUUAAGUCGAGGGUGAAAUCCCGGGGCUCAACCCCGGAACUGCCUUCGAUACUGGCAGCCUAGAGGUCGGGAGAGGUGAGUGGAAUGCCGAGUGUAGAGGUGAAAUUCGUAGAUAUUCGGCGGAACACCCGUGGCGAAGGAGGCUCACUGGCCCGAUAAUGACGAUGAGGUGCGAAAGCGUGGGGAGCAAACAGG
rnacentral:rRNA from 1 species